GAUGAACGCUGGCGGCGUGCCUAACACAUGCAAGUCGAACGAGAUGCGUAUUGGAAAGCUUCGGCCGGAAGAUGCGUUAUCUAGUGGCGGACGGGUGAGUAACACGUGGGUAACCUGCCUUAUGGAGGGGGAUAACAGAGAGAAAUCACUGCUAAUACCGCAUAAGCACACAUUGCCGCAUGGCAGAGUGUGAAAAGAUUUAUCGCCAUAAGAUGGACCCGCGUCUGAUUAGCCAGUUGGCAGGGUAAAAGCCUACCAAAGCAACGAUCAGUAGCCGAUCUGAGAGGAUGGCCGGCCACAUUGGGACUGAGACACGGCCCAAACUCCUACGGGAGGCAGCAGUGGGGAAUAUUGCACAAUGGGGGAAACCCCGAUGCAGCGACGCCGCGUGAGUGAAGAAGUAUUUCGGUAUGUAAAGCUCUAUCAGCAGGGAAGAUAAUGACAGUACCUGACUAAGAAGCCCCGGCUAACUACGUG
rnacentral:rRNA from 1 species